rnacentral:miRNA from 1 species
GCCGGUUUUCCACUUGCGAAUUUUUUCGCGCGAAGCGAAUUUUUCAUUUGUCUUUGGCUUCUCAACUGGAACCAUGUGGAAUUAAUUGGAUAAAGACAAAAGAAAAUUCGUUUCGCGCGAAAAAAUUCGCAAGUGGAAAACCAGC